rnacentral:rRNA from 1 species
GAUGAACGCUGGCGGCGUGCCUAAUACAUGCAAGUCGAGCGAACAGACGAGGAGCUUGCUCCUCUGACGUUAGCGGCGGACGGGUGAGUAACACGUGGAUAACCUACCAAUAAGACUGGGAUAACUUCGGGAAACCGGAGCUAAUACCGGAUAAUAUAUUGAACCGCAUGGUUCAAUAGUGAAAGACGGUUUUGCUGUCACUUAUAGAUGGAUCCGCGCCGCAUUAGCUAGUUGGUAAGGUAACAGCUUACCAAGGCAACGAUGCGUAGCCGACCUGAGAGGGUGAUCGGCCACACUGGAACUGAGACACGGUCCAGACUCCUACGGGAGGCAGCAGUAGGGAAUCUUCCGCAAUGGGCGAAAGCCUGACGGAGCAACGCCGCGUGAGUGAUGAAGGUCUUCGGAUCGUAAAACUCUGUUAUUAGGGAAGAACAAAUGUGUAAGUAACUAUGCACGUCUUGACGGUACCUAAUCAGAAAGCCACGGCUAACUACGUG